CAUGGUUUCUUAAGAGAAAGAGAGAGAGAGCAUCUUAGAUCCCUGAAUUUUUGGGAGUCCUAGAAGUAAGAAAAGGUAGAAUUUUUUAUACCUUUUCUUCUCUCUGCAUCCUUGUCUCCAUCUCCAUCUAGUGAGGGAGAGAUGCAGACGAUUUGUUUAGGAGGGGGCAUCCUUAAUCUCAGUGCCACUGCCCAAAUCAAGAAUCUCAAGCAUCAACCUUUUUCUUGUAUUCCCAAUUUGUCUCAUUGCCAGAUUCCCAAAUCUGGAUUCUCUUCUCCACCUCAGCUCUUAUCAGGUGCGAUUACGAACAUAAUUUUGAAUUUUCCGUUUUCAUGUUCCAUUUUCUUGUGAUUGAUGAUGCUAUAAUUUGAAGAGACUUGAGCCAAUCAGGUGUAUAAGGUUGAUGUCUGAUAGUAACCAAGAUUGUCUUUUAGUGUUGACCUUGUCCUAGUCGAAGCAACUCACUGUCACACACUGAUAAACAGUAGUGAAACUUAGAGCAAGAAUAUCUCACAAUUUAAGGCAAAGAUGGUGCGUGACCAUGGACAGUGAGUGGACUAGAGAUUCAUGGAUAUUUGAAGGUGACCCUUUUUAUGUUAUUAAGUUAACCACAUUUGCUCAUAUGCUCUCAACUCUUCUUGUUGCUCGUAUGAUGCUAGCAUGGGGUGUAUGUGUACCAUUGUUGAAGGCUUGAAGAACCUCACUCUUAAUUGAGGCUUUUUACUUCAAUUCUAGUUUAAUUUGGUUCUUUCUUGCUAGUUAGUUUGAAGGUAUCGACAUGCACUAUUAGGGAUUCGGUUUUCCUUUCAUGAGGGAACUUUAUAUACAAGGUGUGAUCAAUCUGGCAUGGGUAUAUCAUACAUAUUAGUGCAUUUGCAGAAUUUGUUCGGCAUUGUUAAGAAUCAUACAAGGAUUUCUGAAUUGUAGAUGACGUUGAAGUUGAUGGAAGUUUCUAAGUUUAGUGGAAUCUCCAUUUACGUCUGUUUUUCUAAAUCACCANUAUUAUCGGAAUAAUUAAUGGUAAAAUGAUGUAUUUUUUAAUACAUAAAUUAAUACAGAGCGGAUGACCUUUUUUUUUUUUUGAAGAAAAAAGGAUUACUUUUUUUUAGACAAUUCAGAGAGGAUGUCUUUGAAGGCAAGAGAUAUGUUUAGAUUUUUUUUUUAAUCGAUGUUUGGAUUAUAUUUAAAAAUCAUAUACCUUAGUAGUGACUAGUGAGCUGAGCUUAACUACGCUAUCCUUUUCACUUUUACAAUUCCUUUUGGAUUACUUUUCCACAAUGAUUAAAAAUUGGAUUUUUUUUGGAUAAAAAUUUGACAAACAAGAUUGAUGCGUUAAGUAAAUUCAAAUGAGAUACUUUCAUUCCAAUUAGAAGCGAAAAUGUCACUUCGAAGUUGCUCUAAUCAAGAUCCAAUGACUGCAAAUAUGUAAGCUUUGAAAAAAAUGACUUGCAAAUUAAUAAAUCUUCCAAAAACAAAGGUAGGGAGAGGUGAAUUGAGUCAUCAAUUUGUAUGUAAUAUUUAUUUUAUACUAAUUACAUCCACAAAUGAUUAUCCACAAUUGAACCAAGCAUAGGGGUAGCCGCUCUUCACUUUCAUCUGAGGGUUGUUUUUGGUAAAAAAGAAUAUAGCAUAUUUUAUUCCAAUACAAAUUAGAAAGUGAAAAUCAAUGAAAGUUGAACUUAUGUAUUAGACAUUACGUAGUACAUGCUUCAUUGUUCUCUCUCUGAAAAUUUAGUUAGAUUCCCCAAUUUCUCAGCUACAAAUUAAUGAAAUUUAUUAGAUUUAGACUCCUGAAAAAGACUAUUUUUGAUUUUGAUGGCAAUGAAUAUUUAUUGUUGAAUAAGCUUUGGAACGGUAAAAUUUGUUACGGAUGUAGUAUUUGAUCGUAAUAAGAUAGUAGUAAAAACAAGACGUCAGAUUCAAACUUACGUGAGCUCAUUCUCAGUUGUCUGUUUGCUCGUCUUUCCUUUCAUUUCUUUAACUACAAAAACAGACUUCACCAAAAAUCUGUUUACAACCUACCCUAUUCCCCAUGGUUUCUUAAGAGAAAGAGAGAGAGAGCAUCUUAGAUCCCUGAAUUUUUGGGAGUCCUAGAAGUAAGAAAAGGUAGAAUUUUUUAUACCUUUUCUUCUCUCUGCAUCCUUGUCUCCAUCUCCAUCUAGUGAGAGAGAGAGAGAGAGAGAUGCAGACGAUUUGUUUAGGAGGGGGCAUCCUUAAUCUCAGUGCCACUGCCCAAAUCAAGAAUCUCAAGCAUCAACCUUUUUCUUGUAUUCCCAAUUUGUCUCAUUGCCAGAUUCCCAAAUCUGGAUUCUCUUCUCCACCUCAGCUCUUAUC
rnacentral:lncRNA from 1 species